CAAAUGACUCUCGGCAAUGGAUAUCUCGGCUCUUGCAUCGAUGAAGAACGUAGUGAAAUGCGAUACUUGGUGUGAAUUGCAGAAUCUCGUGAACCAUUGAGUCUUUGAACGCAAGUUGUGCCCGAGGCCUUGUGGCCGAGGGCACGCCUGCUUG
rnacentral:rRNA from 1 species